CCUACGGGAGGCAGCAGUGAGGAAUAUUGGUCAAUGGCCGGAAGGCUGAACCAGCCAAGCCGCGUGAAGGACGAAGGUGCCAAGCAUUGUAAACUUCUUUUGUCAAGGGACAAAAUCAGGCUCGAGAGCCUGACCGAGGGUACUUGAAGAAAAAGCAUCGGCUAACUCCGUGCCAGCAGCCGCGGUAAUACGUAGGUGGCAAGCGUUGUCCGGAAUUACUGGGUGUAAAGGGAGCGUAGGCGGGAAGCCAAGUCAGCUGUGAAAACUACGGGCUUAACCUGUAGACUGCAGUUGAAACUGGCUUUCUUGAGUGAAGUAGAGGUUGGCGGAAUUCCGAGUGUAGCGGUGAAAUGCGUAGAUAUUCGGAGGAACACCGGUGGCGAAGGCGGCCAACUGGGCUUUAACUGACGCUGAGGCUCGAAAGUGUGGGGAGCAAACAGGAUUAGAUACCCUAGUAGUC
rnacentral:rRNA from 1 species